rnacentral:rRNA from 1 species
GCCCAAGAGAUCGGGAUAACACCUGGAAACAGAUGCUAAUACCGGAUAACAACAGAUGAUGCCUAUCAACUGUUUAAAAGAUGGUUCUGCUAUCACUCUUGGAUGGACCUGCGGUGCAUUAGCUAGUUGGUAGGGUAACGGCCUACCAAGGCGAUGAUGCAUAGCCGAGUUGAGAGACUGAUCGGCUACAUUGGGACUGAGACACGGCCCAAACUCCUACGGGAGGCAGCAGUA